rnacentral:rRNA from 1 species
CCUACGGGGGCAGCAGUGGGGAAUAUUGGACAAUGGGCGAAAGCCUGAUCCAGCCAUGCCGCGUGUGUGAAGAAGGCCUCCGGGUUGUAAAGCACUUUCAGUGGGGAAGAAAGCCUUGGGGCUAAUACCCUCGAGGAAGGACAUCACCCACAGAAGAAGCACCGGCUAACUCCGUGCCAGCAGCCGCGGUAAUACGGAGGGUGCGAGCGUUAAUCGGAAUUACUGGGCGUAAAGCGCGCGUAGGCGGUCUGAUAAGCCGGUUGUGAAAGCCCCGGGCUCAACCUGGGAACGGCAUCCGGAACUGUCAGGCUAGAGUGCAGGAGAGGAAGGUAGAAUUCCCGGUGUAGCGGUGAAAUGCGUAGAGAUCGGGAGGAAUACCAGUGGCGAAGGCGGCCUUCUGGACUGACACUGACGCUGAGGUGCGAAAGCGUGGGUAGCAAACAGGAUUAGAUACCCCAGUAGUC